rnacentral:rRNA from 1 species
AACGAACGCUGGCGGCAGGCCUAAUACAUGCAAGUCGAACGCCUGUAGCAAUACAGGAGUGGCGCACGGGUGAGUAACACGUGGGUAUCUACCUAGCUGUACGGAACAACCGCGGGAAACUGCGGCUAAUACCGUAUACGCCCUUCGGGGGAAAGAUUUAUCGCAGCUAGAUGAGCCCGCGUCCGAUUAGCUAGUUGGCGGGGUAAUGGCCCACCAAGGCUACGAUCGGUAGCUGGUCUGAGAGGAUGACCAGCCACACUGGGACUGAGACACGGCCCAGACUCCUACGGGAGGCAGCAGUAGGGAAUAUUGGACAAUGGGGGCAACCCUGAUCCAGCCAUGCCGCGUGAGUGAUGAAGGCCUUAGGGUUGUAAAGCUCUUUCAGCGGGGAAGAUAAUGACGGUACCCGCAGAAGAAGCCUCGGCUAACUCCGUGCCAGCCGCCGCAGUAACAC